UAUUACCGAUACAUUAGAAUUUACGGUACUGAUUUUUUUCCUAUGCGUUGUCUGGUACUUAUUUAUUUUCAUGUAUUUUUUUUAUAUUAUAGGCUCGUUAUAGGAAAGAGCAAACAUUGCUUAAGCAACUGCCUUGCAUUCCAUUGGUAGAAAAUUUGUUGAAGGAUGGGACAGAUGGCUGUGCAUUAGCUGCCCUUAUUCAUUUUUACUGUCCUGAUGUUGUCAGAUUAGAGGAUAUUUGUUUGAAAGAAACUAUGUCUUUGGCUGAUAGCCUGUAUAAUCUGCAGCUGAUUCAAGAAUUUUGCCAAGAAUACUUGAACCAGUGUUGCCAUUUCACUCUGGAAGAUAUGCUCUAUGCUGCUU
rnacentral:sRNA from 1 species